GGGUCAGUAGCUCAGCAGGUAGAGCAUGGGACUCUUAAUCCCAGGGUCGCGGGUUCGAUUCCCGCCUGACCCAC
rnacentral:tRNA from 1 species